GUCUACGGCCAUACCACCCUGAACGUGCCCGAUCUUGCCUGAUCUCAGGAGCGAAGCAGGGUCGGGCCUGGUUAGUACUUGGAUGGGAAAAGACACUUUUUGUAGAGA
rnacentral:rRNA from 1 species